CACGUAGGGCGCGAGCGUUGUCCGGAAUUAUUGGGCGUAAAGAGCUCGUAGGCGGCCUGUUGCGUCCGCUGUGAAAGCCCGGGGCUUAACCCCGGGUCUGCAGUGGAUACGGGCAGGCUAGAGGUAGGUAGGGGAGAAUGGAAUUCCCGGUGUAGCGGUGAAAUGCGCAGAUAUCGGGAGGAACACCGGUGGCGAAGGCGGUUCUCUGGGCAUUACCUGACGCUGAGGAGCGAAAGCGUGGGGAGCGAACAGG
rnacentral:rRNA from 1 species